UUUGCUUAGACCUCACAAAUUUUAAAUUGUUGCUCACGUGCAAAGCCCGCGCAACAACCUGGCAGAAUGUAAACUGAUGUUUGUGUGACGUGUCGAGUGCGCGCAAAACUGACGUCUCUCAGAGUGGAUCGUUAUACCUUAGACGCCAGCUGCGAGUUUUUCUGAGUGUUGAUUGUCAUCUGAUUGUGAGCUAACUACAGCCCAAAGGCUCUUUUAAGAGCCACAAGCACUGAGGAUCUUUGGCUUUGUAAGUAUAUGUUUUGACUAUCAGAUGCAUUACGUGAUUAACAUAUUGUAAUGCAUAACUUGCAGGGCUUUACACUUACAUUUCUUUUUAGGAGCACUUAGGUAAUUUUUUUAUUUAUUUAACCUUAAUAAAAAUUAAAUAAAAAAUAAAGUAAAACCCUGCCCUCUAUUUAAUAUUCCGUUUCACAUGGAAAUACUUCACAACACUGGAAAAAAGUUGUCUGCAACUUUCUGUUCACUGGGACUUUAAUGAGGCUCUGAAGGGGCAUUUAAAUUCAUGAUAACAAUAUGUUAUGAGAUUAAUGUUUUAAAUAGAAGGUUUUGAAUGUAGAAAUAUUAAAUGAUUUAAAUAACUGAAAAAAUUAAACUAAAACUGCCAGUAGGGGACGGCAAGUCACUGUCUUUGUCACUGAAUGAUUCAUUCAGUCAGUUCGUUCAAACGGCAGAUUUAUUCAGGAACAAAGCAAGCGACUGUCUUUUUGAAUGGGUCAUUGACUCACUAGAUUUGUUUGAAAAUGCAGAUUCAUUCAUAAACGAAACACCGCUGUGUAGUAGUGGGAAGUUCGGAUCAUUUUACUGACUCGGAUAUUUGAGUCUCGUUCAGCAAAAUU